rnacentral:rRNA from 1 species
UACGUAGGGUGCGAGCGUUAAUCGGAAUUACUGGGCGUAAAGUGUGCGCAGGCGGCCGAGCAAGUCGAGUGUGAAAGCCCCGAGCUUAACUUGGGAACUGCGCUUGUGACUGGCGUGCUGGAGUGUGGCAGAGGGGGAUGGAAUUCCAGGUGUAGCGGUGAAAUGCGUAGAUAUCGGGAGGAACACCAGUGGCGAAGGCGAUCACCUGGGGUUGUUCUGACGCUGAGGAGCGAAAGCUAGGGGAGCAAACGGG